GACAAACGCUGGCGGCAUGCCUAACACAUGCAAGUCGAGCGGCCAGAACAGGGGAGCUUUUCGUUGUGGAACUGGAAAGUUAGUGGCGGAUGGGUGAGUAACGCGUGGACAACUUACCUUGUAAAGGGGAAUAACCUCUAGAAAUCGAAGCUCAUACCCCCUAAUAACCUUGCUUCGCAUGCAGUAAGGAGGAAAGGCGGCCUUAGCGCUGUCGAUACAAGAUGGGUCCGCGUCUGAUUAGCUAGUUGGUGAGGUAAAGGCUCACCAAGGCGACGAUCAGUAGCCGGCCUGAGAGGGUGAUCGGCCACAUUGGGACUGAGACACGGCCCAGACUCCUACGGGAGGCAGCAGUGGGGAAUAUUCCGCAAUGGGCGAAAGCCUGACGGAGCAAUGCCGCGUGAGUGAAGAAGGCCUUCGGGUUGUAAAACUCUGUUCUUAUCGAAGAGAGGGUGUUGUAGUAACUGACGAUACUAGGACGGUAGAUGAGGAGGAAGCCCCGGCUAACUAUGUG
rnacentral:rRNA from 1 species